rnacentral:rRNA from 1 species
GACGAACGCUGGCGGCGUGCUUAACACAUGCAAGUCGAACGAUGAACCCGGAGCUUGCUCCGGUGGAUUAGUGGCGAACGGGUGAGUAACACGUGAGUAACCUGCCCUUGACUCUGGGAUAACUGCGGGAAACUGUAGCUAAUACCGGAUACGACCCUCGGCGGCAUCGCCAGGGGGUGGAAGGAAUUUCGGUCAAGGAUGGACUCGCGGCCUAUCAGCUAGUUGGUGAGGUAACGGCUCACCAAGGCGACGACGGGUAGCCGGCCUGAGAGGGUGACCGGCCACGCUGGGACUGAGACACGGCCCAGACUCCUACGGGAGGCAGCAGUGGGGAAUAUUGCACAAUGGGCGCAAGCCUGAUGCAGCAACGCCGCGUGGGGGAUGACGGCCUUCGGGUUGUAAACCUCUUUUAGUAGGGAAGAAGCGAAAGUGACGGUACCUGCAGAAAAAGCACCGGCUAACUACGUGCCAGCCGCCGCCGUAAGAC